UACGUAGGAGACGAGCGUUGUCCGGAGUUACUGGGCGUAAAGGGUGCGCAGGUGGCGGCGCGCGUGGGGGGUGAAAUCGCCCGGCUUAACUGGGCGGGGGCCUUCCAGACGGCGUGGCUUGAGCAGCGGAGGGGGACACGGAAUUCCGGGUGGAGUGGUGAAAUGCGUAGAGAUCCGGAGGAACACCAAAGGCGAAGGCAGUGUCCUGGGGAGUACCUGACGCUCAGGUGCGAAAGCCAGGGGAGCGAACGGG
rnacentral:rRNA from 1 species